UACAGAGGUGGCAAGCGUUGUUCGGAAUUACUGGGCGUAAAGGGCGCGUAGGCGGCCUUCUAAGUCAGACGUGAAAUCCCCCGGCUUAACCUGGGAACUGCGUCUGAUACUGGAGGGCUCGAGUUUGGGAGAGGGAUGUAGAGUUCCAGGUGUAGCGGUGAAAUGCGUAGAUAUCUGGAGGAAUACCGGUGGCGAAGGCGGCAUCCUGGACCAACACUGACGCUGAGGCGCGAAAGCUAGGGGAGCAAACGGGG
rnacentral:rRNA from 1 species